CCUACGGGGGGCAGCAGUAGGGAAUAUUGGACAAUGGGCGAAAGCCUGAUCCAGCCAUGCCGCGUGAGUGAAGAAGGCCUUAGGGUUGUAAAGCUCUUUUAGUGGGGAAGAUAAUGACUGUACCCACAGAAAAAGCCCCGGCUAACUUCGUGCCAGCAGCCGCGGUAAUACGAAGGGGGCUAGCGUUGUUCGGAAUCACUGGGCGUAAAGCGGGUGUAGGUGGAUGUUUAAGUGAGGGGUGAAAGCCCAAGGCUCAACCUUGGAACGGCCUCUCAUACUGAGCAUCUAGAGUCUGGAAGGGGGAAAUGGAAUUCCGAGUGUAGAGGUGAAAUUCGUAGAUAUUCGGAGGAACACCAGUGGCGAAGGCGAUUUCCUGGUACAUGACUGACACUCAGACCCGAAAGUGUGGGGAUCAAACAGGAUUAGAUACCCUUGUAGUCC
rnacentral:rRNA from 1 species